rnacentral:rRNA from 1 species
UUUCCGGUUGAUCCUGCCGGACCUGACUGCUAUCGGAUUGAUACUAAGCCAUGCGAGUCUUUGUAGUAAUACAAGGCAUACGGCUCAGUAACACGUAGUCAACCUACCCUAUGGACGAGAAUAAUCUCGGGAAACUGAGCAUAAUUCUUGAUAGAUCAUAAUGCCUGGAAUGGUUUAUGGUUAAAAUGAUUCGUCGCCAUAGGAUGGGACUGCGGCCUAUCAGCUUGUUGGUGAGGUAAUGGCCCACCAAGGCGAUUACAGGUACGGGCUCUGAGAGGAGAAGCCCGGAGAUGGGUACUGAGACACGGACCCAGGCCCUAUGGGGCGCAGCAGGCGAGAAAACUUUGCAAUGUGCGAAAGCACGACAAGGUUAAUCCGAGUGAUUUCUGCUAAAGAAAUCUUUUGCCAGUCGUAAAACCGCUGGUGAAUAAGGGGUGGGCAAGUUCUGGUGUCAGCCGCCGCGGUAAAACCAGCACCUCAAGUGGUCAGGAUGAUUAUUGGGCCUAAAGCAUCCGUAGCCUGCUUUGUAAGUUUUCGGUUAAAUCCAUGUGCUCAACGCAUGGGCUGCCGAAAAUACUGCAUAGCUAGGGAGUGGGAGAGGUAGACGGUACUCAGUAGGUAGGGGUAAAAUCCUUUGAUCUAUUGAUGACCACCUGUGGCGAAGGCGGUCUACCAGAACACGUUCGACGGUGAGGGAUGAAAGCUGGGGGAGCAAACCGGAUUAGAUACCCGGGUAGUCCCAGCUGUAAGCGAUGCAGACUCGAUGAUGCAUUGGCAUAAUAGCCAUUGCAGUGUCGCAGGGAAGCCGUUAAGUCUGCCGCCUGGGAAGUACGUACGCAAGUAUGAAACUUAAAGGAAUUGGCGGGGGAGCACCACAAGGGGUGAAGCCUGCGGUUCAAUUGGAGUCAACGCCGGA